CUCUCUGACCCCGGCUGUGGCUCCAUCGUGGACAGCGGCUUUCCCAGCAGAUGGGCUGCACUUCAGAUGGCCUGAAACUGAAGAAAAGGGGGAAGAAGAGACUCCUGCCUCCUCCUCCAGCCAGGGCUACAUCUCAGAGUCAGCACCAGGUCUGAAUGAAAGGGCUAAACAACUCAGUCCAGGGACAGUUUCCAUGAAAACCACAUGGUGAUAUUUUUAGAGAAGACAAAGAACUCCUUCAUGACUUGAAAAUGAGUGUGGUGGCAGCCAUCCACCAACAGCAAACUAGAGGAAAAAGUAAGAGGACGCCGCAGUGGUGUUUGGGUAGAGAAGCUGCCUUGGGCAAGGCACCAGUGUCACCCCAUGAGUAGACUCCCAUGAGCAUGUGCAGGACUCGCUUCUUCCUAUCAACAGGAUGCCAUCACAGGCAACACUGAAGCUCCGUCGACAUCUCCUCUUGCUCACUUCAGCCUCCGGGUACCAUCAGACGAACAGACUCCUCCAGUACACGCUCUUGCUCUGAUACCCAGUGCACAUGGUUGCAACCUCUAAGACCAGGAGCCAAAGCAGACCUUGCCGCUUACUGAUUCACUGGGAUACUUCGUUACAGUGAAACAAAGUUCACUAACAGAGCACAACCUUAUUUGGAAACAGCACUAUUUCAGCAAUAGAGCAUUAUACUGGGUAAGUCCUGUCCCAGUGCAAGGUGAGAGGAGAGUACACGCUGAAGCUCUGAAGUCUGUAAGCGAAUUUCUCACAAUGCUUAGGGCACACAUGUCUGGCCUUCCUCGUUUGUGCUGCCACUCCCUUAACAUUCGCUCCGGGUCCUUUUUCUCCCUACCUACUACCCUACACAACCCUGCUGUUUCCUGAAUUUGAAGAGUUGCCUCAUACUUUAUUAAAUAUAACAAGCCAUUGAUGACUAUAAACUGC